rnacentral:rRNA from 1 species
UGAUAUGAACCGUUAUAACCGGCGAUUUCCGAAUGGGGAAACCCAGUGUGUUUCGACACACUAUCAUUAACUGAAUCCAUAGGUUAAUGAGGCGAACCGGGGGAACUGAAACAUCUAAGUACCCCGAGGAAAAGAAAUCAACCGAGAUUCCCCCAGUAGCGGCGAGCGAACGGGGAGCAGCCCAGAGCCUGAAUCAGUAUGUGUGUUAGUGGAAGCGUCUGGAAAGGCGCGCGAUACAGGGUGACAGCCCCGUACACAAAAAUGCACAUGCUGUGAGCUCGAUGAGUAGGGCGGGACACGUGGUAUCCUGUCUGAAUAUGGGGGGACCAUCCUCCAAGGCUAAAUACUCCUGACUGACCGAUAGUGAACCAGUACCGUGAGGGAAAGGCGAAAAGAACCCCGGCGAGGGGAGUGAAAAAGAACCUGAAACCGUGUACGUACAAGCAGUGGGAGCACGCUUAGGCGUGUGACUGCGUACCUUUUGUAUAAUGGGUCAGCGACUUAUAUUCUGUAGCAAGGUUAACCGAAUAGGGGAGCCGAAGGGAAACCGAGUCUUAACUGGGCGUUAAGUUGCAGGGUAUAGACCCGAAACCCGGUGAUCUAGCCAUGGGCAGGUUGAAGGUUGGGUAACACUAACUGGAGGACCGAACCGACUAAUGUUGAAAAAUUAGCGGAUGACUUGUGGCUGGGGGUGAAAGGCCAAUCAAACCGGGAGAUAGCUGGUUCUCCCCGAAAGCUAUUUAGGUAGCGCCUCGUGAAUUCAUCUCCGGGGGUAGAGCACUGUUUCGGCAAGGGGGUCAUCCCGACUUACCAACCCGAUGCAAACUGCGAAUACCGGAGAAUGUUAUCACGGGAGACACACGGCGGGUGCUAACGUCCGUCGUGAAGAGGGAAACAACCCAGACCGCCAGCUAAGGUCCCAAAGUCAUGGUUAAGUGGGAAACGAUGUGGGAAGGCCCAGACAGCCAGGAUGUUGGCUUAGAAGCAGCCAUCAUUUAAAGAAAGCGUAAUAGCUCACUGGUCGAGUCGGCCUGCGCGGAAGAUGUAACGGGGCUAAACCAUGCACCGAAGCUGCGGCAGCGACGCUGAUGCGUUGUUGGGUAGGGGAGCGUUCUGUAAGCCUG